rnacentral:rRNA from 1 species
GGCGGGACACGUGGUAUCCUGUCUGAAUAUGGGGGACCAUCCUCCAAGGCUAAAUACUCCUGACUGACCGAUAGUGAACCAGUACCGUGAGGGAAAGGCGAAAAAGAACCCCGGACGAGGGGAGUGAAAAAGAACCUGAAACCGUGUACGUACAAGCAGUGGGAGCACCUUCGGGUGUGACUGCGUACCUUUUGUAUAAUGGGUCAGCGACUUAUAUUCUGUAGCAAGGUUAACCGUAUAGGGGAGCCGCAGGGAAACCGAGUCUUAACUGGGCGUUAAGUUGCAGGGUAUAGACCCGAAACCCGGUGAUCUAGCCAUGGGCAGGUUGAAGGUUGGGUAA